rnacentral:rRNA from 1 species
AUUGAACGCUGGCGGCAGGCCUAACACAUGCAAGUCGAGCGGAAGAAGACUUCGGUCUUCGAGAGCGGCGGACGGGUGAGUAACGCGUGGGAAUCUGGCUCUUAGAGGGGGACAACUGGUGGAAACGCAAGCUAAUACCGCAUACGCCCUAAGGGGGAACGCAGGGGAGCUUCGGCCCUUGCGCUACGGGAUGAGCCCGCGUCGGAUUAGCUAGUUGGUGGGGCAAAGGCCUACCAAGGCGACGAUCCGUAACUGGUCUGAGAGGGUGAUCAGUCACACUGGAACUGAGACACGGUCCAGACUCCUACGGGAGGCAGCAGUGGGGAAUAUUGGACAAUGGGGGCAACCCUGAUCCAGCCAUGCCGCGUGUGUGAAGAAGGCCUUCGGGUUGUAAAGCACUUUAAGUUGGGAGGAAAGGGUUGUGGCUAAUAUCCAUAAUCUAUGACGUUACCAACAGAAUAAGCACCGGCUAACUCCGUGCCAGCAGCCGCCGUAA